UUUGACACUUUCAGCGGUGCUCGUCCUCCUGGCUUCGAGCGCCAACAAAGAGUGGGCGUUUCCUCCUUCAAGUUCAAGAUCCAGCAUGAAAUUGUCCUGCAGUCUCUCCGCCUCACAUCGGUCCUAAGGAUGACAAAAGACCACAUCACCCCGCCGCUUCCCGUGCGUGAGGUCGCCGAGUGAGGCAUCGCCACCAACACUUGUUAAGAUGACGCACACACAUUAAGGGCACGGGGCCGGCACACAGAACUAAAUUCCAGUUAGUUCAAAAAGUGCUGCUGCUCGAACACGGCCGCCCACUGUGAUCCUGGCAACUCAGCAGCUGAUGUUUUGCUUGGGGCGCCUGCGAGAGCAAGAUGAAGAUGAGUUUCACCUGCCAGCAAGACAAUAAUGACAGCAGACAUCCAAACCAGCAGAAGAAUGGC